GCUAAGCUUUGACUUCUGUCUUCUGGUCAUCUUCUCAAGCAAGCUCCCCCCACCCGGUGUUGGCUUUUAUGCAUGCUGGGCUGCCAGUCCUCACUCAAUAAUGCAUGAAAGGGUAUAGAGGCAGAAGUCUGAAAACACGGAGGACUAGGAAAGAAUGGAGUCCCAGAGACACCUGGACCCUGCAGGAAACACUGGUAGUCACUGACGUUCCUCAUGGUUCACCAACCGCACCAGAUUGGGUGUUGUCUGUAUUCCGGACCCAGCAGUUCUAAUAGAAAGUGGAGACAGCUACAGUGAGAGACUUGGAAAGACAUUGAGACGUGGAGGAGAGAGAUGGUGUCACCACACAGCCUUUGGACUUCUGGCGAUACGUGUCCUAUCUGAGGAAGCACUAGAGAGACAGAAUGCUGUCUCAGGGCCAGCAGAGGCCUUGGGUCAGGGUUGAAAGCAGACAGCUGGAUUAAUCCUCACCGGAAAAGGCUCUAGUGAGAAUGGAGGGAGAAUUCCAUCAUCUUCUGAGUGAUACUCCCAGUCAGCUUUGAGGCCAUAGGGGAACACAUGCAUGCAACACUUGACAGUCCUACGGCACUAUGCUGUGAUGUUGGAAGGUAAGGUGUGGUAGAUGCAUUUUCCAAUUAACGGCAUUUCAAAUUAGAAUGGGUUUCUUGGGGGCACAGCCUCAAGGUCAGUAAAGGAGAAUCAGACCUGUAAAGGAGGGAGGGUUAUGGAAGUACCAUCUUCAGAGGUGGAGAAGAAAUGUCCUUCCCCCUGUAGCUCUAGCUCUUUCUGGGCCGAGGUCCAGGGUUUGCCAGCUCCCCCCGAGUCUGUUUUGCUCCAAGCUGAGCCUGUGUUUCCAAAUGAUAGAGGGACACAGGAGAAAUGUACUUAGAACUCUGACCACUGUUCCGGACA